rnacentral:rRNA from 1 species
UACGUAGGGGGCUAGCGUUGUCCGGAAUCAUUGGGCGUAAAGAGCGUGUAGGCGGCCCGAUAAGUCCGGUGUGAAAGUCACAGGCUCAACCUGUGAAUGCCGCUGGAAACUGUCUGGCUAGAGUUCGGAAGAGGCGAGUGGAAUUCCCGGUGUAGCGGUGAAAUGCGCAGAUAUCGGGAGGAACACCUAUGGCGAAGGCAGCUCGCUGGGACGUUACUGACGCUGAGGCACGAAAGCGUGGGGAGCAAACAGG